CCUGGUUGAUCCUGCUAGUAGUCAUAUGCUUGUCUCAAAGAUUAAGCCAUGCAUGUCUAAGUAUGAACUAAUUCAGACUGUGAAACUGCGGAUGGCUCAUUGAAUCAGUUAUAGUUUUUGUUAUGUUACUAUACUACUCAGAUAACCGUAGUAAUUAUAGAGCUAAUAUGUGCAUCAAGUCCCGACUCUUUGGAAGGGAUGCAUUUUUAGAUAAAAGGCCGGCGCAGGCUUGCCCGCUUCUCCGGUGAAUCAUGAUAACUCGACGGAUCGCACAACCCUUGCGCUGGUGAUGCUUCAUUAAAAUUUCUACUCUAUCAACUUUCGAUGGUAGGAUAGAGGCCUACCAUGGUGGUGAUGGGUGACAAAGAAUUAGGGUUUGAUUCUGGAGAGGGAGCCUGAGAAACGACUACCACAUCCAAGGAAGGUAGCAGGCGCGUAAAUUACCCAAUCCUGACAUGGGGAGGUAGUGACAAUAAAUAACAAUACUGGGCUCUUCGAGUCUGGUAAUUGGAAUGAGUACAAUCUAAAUCCCUUAACGAGGAUCCAUUGGAAGGCAAGUCUGGUGCCACCAGCUGCGGUAAUUCCACCUCCAAUAGCGUAUAUUUAAGUUGUUGCAGCUAAAAAGCUCGUAUUUGGUUCUUGGGUCGUAAAGGUCAGUCCGCCUACUCGGUGUGCACCUGCCCUUCUGUCCUUUUUGACGACGCGUGCUCUUGGCCUUAAUUGGCCGGGUCGUGGCUCCAGUGUUGUUACUUUGAAAAAACGAGAGUGCUCAAAGCAAGCUUAUGCUCUGAAUCCAUUAGCAUGGAAUAAUGUGAUAGGAGUUUGGUCCUAUUGUGUUGGCCUUCGGGACCAGAGUAAUGAUUAAUAGGGACUGUCGGGGGCAUUUGUAUUUCAUUGUCAGAGGUGAAAUUCUUGGAUUUAUGAAAGAUGGACCACUAUGAAAGCAUUUUCCAAGGAUGUUUUUAUUAAUCAAGAAUGAAAGUUGGGGGCUUGAAGACGAUCAGAUACCAUCCUAGUCUCAACCAUAAACGAUGCCGACCAGGGAUCGACAGAUGUUACUCUAAGGGCUCCACCAGCACCUUCUGAGAAAUCAGAGUGUUUUGGUUCCGAGGGGAGUAUGGUCGCAAGGCUAAAACUUAAAGGAAUUGACUAGGUCUGUUACACUAAAAUUUGUCACCAUGACUAUUUGCAGUUAGUAUAGCUCCAUCAAUAGUCAUGCUAUCCUCCUUGGCAAGCCUUAUACCUCUGCUCUCCAUGUAAAACUUCAAGAAAGGGAGAAAGUCAUUAAAAAACAUGUUUAUCUCUAGGUAUGCAGGUUCUCUCUACCUUACCUGCGUGUACGCACUCCAAGUUCAUAAUACGUACGUACUUGUACCCUCUGUAUGUGAAGGGAUGGGUGCGUACUCCUGUAAAGGUUAAAAGGCGCGAGUUUCAUCUUAAAAAAGUUACUUGUGGUCAUUUCUAGAGCAUUCUAGAAGCUUGUUUGACGUGUAUUGAGCGCCUCCAGAUGGUUCAUGCAUCCCUAUGAAAGAGUAACUUAUCCCAUCAAGAGAGGAGCUACCCCAUCCAAAAGAGGGGCUUAUCCCAUUGAUGUUGGACCUGAAUAAAUUCCUCUAGAACAUUAUAAAUAUAGGCAUUAGGCCAGAGGAGGAGAGGUUGAAAGCUGAACAUUC
rnacentral:rRNA from 1 species